UCUUAAAGCUGUUCUCAGUUCGGACUGCAGUCUGCAACUCGACUGCACGAAGCUGGAAUCGCUAGUAAUCGCGGAUCAGCACGCCGCGGUGAAUACGUUCCCGGGCCUUGUACACACCGCCCGUCACACCAUGGAAGUCUGCAAUGCCCGAAGCCGGUGGCCUAACCACUUAUGUGGAAGGAGCCGUCUAAGGCAGGGCAGAUGACUGGGGCGAAGUCGUAACAAGGUACC
rnacentral:rRNA from 1 species